ensembl:lncRNA
GCUUUUUAUGUCUCCAAGGACGAAAUGUCCACAGCUUCCAGGGCAGAGCGUGCCAGUGUUUCAUCCCCUUUGCCAUACAUGAGCUUUUCCUUUAGCUUCUAUGGAACCGGUUCCCUGUAGUUUGAUUUGUGCCCAUUACUCUUAUCUUUUCAGCGAGCACCACUGAGAAGAGUGGCUCUUCUACUCCUUCCCACCAGCUGUGCCCAGGGGCAUCUGCCAGGACACAGGUCUGGCCCCACGUGUGUGCAACAGGCAAAUUCCAGGAGCUUCGGUGAAACAAAAUCCAGUGUCACAGCUGCCACGAGACCUGAGUUUUCACAGCACUUCUAUAUUACCACACCGGAUCCUGUGUGCAGCCAUCAGCAAAGGCAAUGGCAACUCCGUGCAGGCUGUGCAGCCUGAAUCAAGCAGCAAUGGGGCAAUCCUCUGUUCAAGGACUGGGAAGGGAGGGGCACCUCUUUGAUCUACAAACUGCCCCUUAAAUGAUUGAAACAUGAACCGGAGCACUGGUGGAUUGGCUUUACCAGCCCUCUGUGAUGAAUUUCCUAGACCUACAGCAACUACGAUGUGGUCAACGAAUGUUUUCGGUGGUGGUGCUGGUCCUUGCAUAG